rnacentral:rRNA from 1 species
UGGGGAAUUUUGCACAAUGGGGGAAACCCUGAUGCAGCGACGCCGCGUGAUUUAGAAGGCCUUCGGGUUGUAAAAAUCUUUUGUAUGGGAAGAAAAUGACAGUACCAUACGAAUAAGGACCGGCUAAUUACGUGCCAGCAGCCGCGGUAAUACGUAUGGACCGAGCGUUGUCCGGAAUCAUUGGGCGUAAAGGGUACGUAGGCGGCCCAGUAAGUUAGAAGUGAAAUAAUAUAGCUCAACUAUAUAAAGCUUUUAAAACUGCUAGGCUUGAGAGAUGGAAGGGAAAGUGGAAUUCCUAGUGUAGCGGUGAAAUGCGCAGAUAUUAGGAAGAAUACCGGUGGCGAAGGCGACUUUCUGGUCAUCAUCUGACGCUGAGGUACGAAAGCGUGGGUAGCAAACAGG